rnacentral:rRNA from 1 species
CGCUGGCGGCGUGCCUAAUACAUGCAAGUCGAGCGGAUCUGAGGGAGCUUGCUCCCAAAGAUUAGCGGCGGACGGGUGAGUAACACGUGGGCAACCUGCCUGUAAGAUCGGGAUAACUCCGGGAAACCGGGGCUAAUACCGGAUAAUUCUUUUCCCCUCAUGGGGAAAAGCUGAAAGACGGUUUCGGCUGUCACUUACAGAUGGGCCCGCGGCGCAUUAGCUAGUUGGUGAGGUAACGGCUCACCAAGGCCACGAUGCGUAGCCGACCUGAGAGGGUGAUCGGCCACACUGGGACUGAGACACGGCCCAGACUCCUACGGGAGGCAGCAGUAGGGAAUCUUCCGCAAUGGACGAAAGUCUGACGGAGCAACGCCGCGUGAGCGAUGAAGGCCUUCGGGUCGUAAAGCUCUGUUGUUAGGGAAGAACAAGUAUCGGAGUAACUGCCGGUACCUUGACGGUACCUAACCAGAAAGCCACGGCUAACUACGUGCCAGCAGCCGCGGUAAUACGUAGGUGGCAAGCGUUGUCCGGAAUUAUUGGGCGUAAAGCGCGCGCAGGUGGUUCCUUAAGUCUGAUGUGAAAGCCCACGGCUCAACCGUGGAGGGUCAUUGGAAACUGGGGAACUUGAGUGCAGAAGAGGAAAGUGGAAUUCCACGUGUAGCGGUGAAAUGCGUAGAGAUGUGGAGGAACACCAGUGGCGAAGGCGACUUUCUGGUCUGUAACUGACACUGAGGCGCGAAAGCGUGGGGAGCGAACAGGAUUAGAUACCCUGGUAGUCCACGCCGUAAACGAUGAGUGCUAAGUGUUAGAGGGUUUCCGCCCUUUAGUGCUGCAGCAAACGCAUUAAGCACUCCGCCUGGGGAGUACG